CGGUAAAGAGCGGCGGACGGGUGAGUAACGCGUGGGUAACCUGCCCUGUACACACGGAUAACAUACCGAAAGGUAUGCUAAUACGAGAUAAAAUACUUUUAUCGCAUGGUAGAAGUAUCAAAGCCUUUGCGGUACAGGAUGGACCCGCGUCUGAUUAGCUAGUUGGUAAGGUAACGGCUUACCAAGGCGACGAUCAGUAGCCGACCUGAGAGGGUGAUCGGCCACAUUGGAACUGAGACACGGUCCAAACUCCUACGGAAGGCAGCAG
rnacentral:rRNA from 1 species